UACGGAGGGUGCAAGCGUUAAUCGGAAUUCCUUGGCGUAAAGCGCGUGUAGGCUGCCCAUUAAGUCUGAUGUGAAAGCCCGGGGCUCACCCCCGGAAGUGCAUUGGAAACUGAUGGGCUGGAGUCCCGGAGAGGAGGGUGGAAUUCCUGGUGUAGCGGUGAAAUGCGUAGAUAUCAGGAGGAACACCGGUGGCGAAGGCGGCCCUCUGGACGGUGACUGACGCUGAGACGCGAAAGCGUGGGGAGCAAACAGG
rnacentral:rRNA from 1 species